rnacentral:lncRNA from 1 species
UUUCUCCAAAAGAUCUGUUGAACGUAAGUAAGAUUUUGAUGGAUUCUUCACGCGGUCAGUUAAGAAACAGAAUCGUAUCCGCCAGGUCAACAAGAAAAAACGAAUGGCAUACUGCAGAGGAAAUCUACAUAAAACAGGAAAUGCAAACUGGAGUAAAGUGAUAUUCAAUGAUAAGUGCAACGUAGUCAUCUGGCAAAAUUCCUCAGUCAGUGUCUAGAGAAAAGUCGGAGAAGAGUGGUUAAUGGAUUGUAUUUGCCCUCCGUUCCAGCGCAACUAUAGUUUGAUGAUAUGGGGAUGUAUUACUUACUAUGGCAUGUGAACUAUAACUUUUCUUGAAGGGAGCAUAAAUGCCUUAAAAUACAUUGACAUAAUUGACAACAAAGUGUGGUCAGUGAUUAUUAAUCUUAGGUGAGUUUUUAAACUCGUCGAAUAAUCUCACAAUAGAGGAAACUAAAAUUUCGGCGACUUUUUUAGAAGGUUUAUUCGAAUGACCAUUAACAAAAGGCGAAACAUCAAUAUCAAGGUAAUCAAUUUUACAUUUAGUGUACCUAAUAUAUCAGCACUGUGUGGUGUGGUCUAAUUUUGUUAAAAAUAUUGACGAAAAAAAAAAAGUAGGCACGUAAAACUAUGGAACGCCACAG